rnacentral:lncRNA from 1 species
GGGACUAGAGAAGGAGAAUCCAGACGGCUCUUUCGACCUUUUGGAAUGGUGGAAGACAAGGGAAAAGCAUUUUCUCGUUCUUGCAAGGAUGGCUUGGGAUGUUCUGUCGAUUCAAGCGUAACUGUUGCAUCGGAGAGCGCUUUUAGUCAAGCAAGACUACAAAUAAGUGAUCACAGAGCGUCGAUGCGGGAGAGCUUGAAAAAAUCAGUGCUUUUUCGAGAUUGGAUCCGCGCAGAAAGAAG